rnacentral:rRNA from 1 species
CUCAGGAUGAACGCUAGCUACAGGCUUAACACAUGCAAGUCGAGGGGCAGCAGGAUCUAGCAAUAGAUUGCUGGCGACCGGCGCACGGGUGAGUAACACGUAUCCAACCUGCCGAUAACUCGGGGAUAGCCUUUCGAAAGAAAGAUUAAUACCCGAUAGUAUAAUCAGACCGCAUGGUUUGAUUAUUAAAGAAUUUCGGUUAUCGAUGGGGAUGCGUUCCAUUAGGCAGUUGGUGAGGUAACGGCUCACCAAACCUUCGAUGGAUAGGGGUUCUGAGAGGAAGGUCCCCCACAUUGGAACUGAGACACGGUCCAAACUCCUACGGGAGGCAGCAGUGAGGAAUAUUGGUCAAUGGACGCGAGUCUGAACCAGCCAAGUAGCGUGAAGGAUGACUGCCCUAUGGGUUGUAAACUUCUUUUAUAUGGGAAUAAAGUUUUCCACGUGUGGAAUUUUGUAUGUACCAUAUGAAUAAGGAUCGGCUAACUCCGUGCCAGCAGCCGCGGUAAUACGGAGGAUCCGAGCGUUAUCCGGAUUUAUUGGGUUUAAAGGGAGCGUAGGUGGACAGUUAAGUCAGUUGUGAAAGUUUGCGGCUCCACCGUAAAAUUGCAGUUGAUACUGGCUGUCUUGAGUACAGUAGAGGUGGGCGGAAUUCGUGGUGUAGCGGUGAAAUGCUUAGAUAUCACGAAGAACUCCGAUUGCGAAGGCAGCUCACUGGACUGCAACUGACACUGAUGCUCGAAAGUGUGGGUAUCAAACAGGAUUAGAUACCCUGGUAGUCCACACAGUAAACGAUGAAUACUCGCUGUUUGCGAUAUACAGUAAGCGGCCAAGCGAAAGCAUUAAGUAUUCCACCUGGGGAGUACGCCGGCAACGGUGAAACUCAAAGGAAUUGACGGGGGCCCGCACAAGCGGAGGAACAUGUGGUUUAAUUCGAUGAUACGCGAGGAACCUUACCCGGGCUUAAAUUGCAUUUGAAUAUAUUGGAAACAGUAUAGCCGUAAGGCAAAUGUGAAGGUGCUGCAUGGUUGUCGUCAGCUCGUGCCGUGAGGUGUCGGCUUAAGUGCCAUAACGAGCGCAACCCUUAUCUUUAGUUACUAACAGGUCAUGCUGAGGACUCUAGAGAGACUGCCGUCGUAAGAUGUGAGGAAGGUGGGGAUGACGUCAAAUCAGCACGGCCCUUACGUCCGGGGCUACACACGUGUUACAAUGGGGGGUACAGAAGGCAGCUACCUGGUGACAGGAUGCUAAUCCCAAAAGCCUCUCUCAGUUCGGAUCGAAGUCUGCAACCCGACUUCGUGAAGCUGGAUUCGCUAGUAAUCGCGCAUCAGCCAUGGCGCGGUGAAUACGUUCCCGGGCCUUGUACACACCGCCCGUCAAGCCAUGAAAGCCGGGGGUACCUGAAGUACGUAACCGCAAGGAGCGUCCUAGGGUAAAACUGGU